CGCUGUUUAGUUGGUAAAGCACAAAGAUCUUAACCUUGUGGACGUGGGUUCAAGCCCCAUAAUGGGGG
rnacentral:tRNA from 1 species